ensembl:snRNA U1 U1 spliceosomal RNA
AUACUUAACCUAGCAGGGGAGAUAGCAUGGUCACGAAGAUGUUUUCCCAGGGUGAGGCUUAGCCACUGCACUGAGGGUGUGCUGAUCCACCACUGCAAUUUCUCCAAAUGCAGGAAACACAGCUCUGUAAUCUGCGGUAGUGAGGGAUUAAAAAAGAAAAAUCCUUUA